AUGGCUUCCACCGUCCCCUUCUCGCCGGCCAAGGUCCAGAUGCUCAAGGCGACCAACUGCCACGGCCACGCGGCCUUCGGCAGCUGUUUCGCCGUCCCAAGAACCGGGCCAAAGCAGCGUUCCCUGGCCGUCAGGGUCAGCAGCGAGCAGGAGGCGGCCGCCGCCGUCAGGGCGCCGUCGGGGAGGAGCAUCGAGGAGUGCGAGGCCGACGCCGUCGCCGGGAGAUUCCCUGCCCCCGCGGCGUUUGUCAGACCAAAGGCCCCCGAUGGCACGCCUGAGAUCAGGCCUCUUGACAUGGCAAAGCGCCCUCGUCGCAACCGCAGGUCGCCAGCUCUUAGGGCUGCAUUCCAGGAGACAACCAUCUCGCCCGCUAAUUUGGUGCUCCCAUUGUUCAUCCACGAAGGGGAAGAGGAUGCUCCAAUUGGCGCCAUGCCCGGGUGCUUUAGGCUUGGAUGGCAGCAUGGGCUUCUUGAUGAGGUGUAUAAGGCACGCGAUGUUGGUGUUAACAGCUUUGUGCUCUUUCCAAAGGUUCCGGAUGCAUUGAAGUCUCCAACAGGAGUUGAAGCAUACAAUGACAAUGGUUUGGUUCCACGAACAAUUCGCCUGCUCAAGGAUAAGUUCCCUGAUAUUAUUGUUUACACGGAUGUUGCUUUGGACCCGUAUUCAUCUGAUGGACAUGAUGGCAUCGUGAGGGAAGAUGGAGUAAUUCUGAACGAUGAAACAGUAUAUCAGUUGUGCAAACAGGCAGUUUCACAGGCACGUGCUGGUGCCGAUGUAGUUAGUCCUAGUGACAUGAUGGAUGGUCGUGUUGGAGCAAUCCGUUCUGCUUUGGAUGCUGAGGGUUUCAAUGAUGUCUCCAUCAUGUCCUAUACUGCAAAGUACGCCAGUUCAUUUUACGGGCCAUUCCGAGAAGCUUUAGAUUCAAAUCCACGAUUUGGGGAUAAGAAAACCUAUCAGAUGAACCCAGCUAACUACAGGGAAGCCCUUCUAGAAACUGCAGCAGAUGAGGCCGAAGGGGCUGAUAUCCUUCUAGUGAAACCUGGAUUGCCGUACUUGGAUAUCAUCCGACUUCUCCGGGAUAAUUCUGCACUGCCAAUUGCUGCAUACCAGGUGUCUGGCGAGUACUCGAUGAUCAAGGCCGGCGGGGCGCUGAACAUGAUCGACGAGGAGAAGGUGAUGAUGGAGUCGCUCAUGUGCCUGCGGCGAGCCGGCGCCGACGUCAUCCUCACCUACUUCGCCCGCCAGGCCGCCGUCGUCCUCUGCGGCAUGGGAUCCGCUGCCAAGUAG
rnacentral:rRNA from 1 species